GUAUCAGACUUGUUAAAACAACCUUGUAACAAGUCUGAUAAUGCCAUCAAGCUUGUUAUCAGACUUGUUACAAGGUUGUUGUAACAAGUCUGAUA